UGACUUAUGGUUCUGUUAGUGACUAUGAGUUCAGACAGUGUUUUCAGUUGACCUUAAGUUGGAUUUGGGUUCUGAUUUUGACUGAAGCUUCGACCUAGUGAUCGGAGAUUGCACAACCAGCCAGUCUAGUCUGCAUCAUGUGCAUCAUAGCAUAUUUAUUUUUUCAAAAGAAACGCAGUAAAAAAAAAUUGAAAAAAAUCAAAAAAAAGAGAAGAA
rnacentral:lncRNA from 1 species